AGUGAACGCUGGCGGUAGGCCUAACACAUGCAAGUCGAACGGCAGCACAGUAAGAGCUUGCUCUUACGGGUGGCGAGUGGCGGACGGGUGAGGAAUACAUCGGAAUCUACUUUUUCGUGGGGGAUAACGUAGGGAGACUUACGCUAAUACCGCAUACGACCUACGGGUGAAAGCAGGGGAUCUUCGGACCUUGCGCGAUUGAAUGAGCCGAUGACGGAUUAGCUAGUUGGCGGGGUAAAGGCCCACCAAGGCGACGAUCCGUAGCUGGUCUGAGAGGAUGAUCAGCCACACUGGAACUGAGACACGGUCCAGACUCCUACGGGAGGCAGCAGUGGGGAAUAUUGGACAAUGGGCGCAAGCCUGAUCCAGCCAUACCGCGUGGGUGAAGAAGGCCUUCGGGUUGUAAAGCCCUUUUGUUGGGAAAGAAAAGCAGCAGGUUAAUACCCCGCUGUUCUGACGGUACCCAAAGAAUAAGCACCGGCUAACUUCGUG
rnacentral:rRNA from 1 species